CAGGGAGACAACAAAAUGUUUAAUAUUAUUAUUUUGUCACCUUAGGUCGAUCGGUAUCUCACGUUCUUAAUUUAUUAAGAAUUUCAUUUCCUAAGUUUUUCUAGGUCACACCCAUUAUUUUCCUGGGCCAUUAGCUCAGGUGGUUAGAGCGCACCCCUGAUAAGGGUGAGGUCCCUGGUUCAAGUCCAGGAUGGCCCAUAUCUCUAUGUUGGGGGUAUAGCUCAGUUGGUAGAGCGCCUGCUUUGCAAGCAGGAUGUCAGCGGUUCGAGUCCGCUUACCUCCACUGAUCACCACCUCUUCCAUAAUCGAUAGAAAGGAAAUGUUUUGAGUUGUGAUCUAAUUCUGAACGAAUCUAGCUUCCUAAUCAAAUUAUUAAGAUGCUGGACUCAUUGAAUUAAUUUCAUUGUUUUCAGAGAACCUUGACAACUGCAUAGAUUAUUUUUUAAAGACAAUAAGCAUCUUUUAAUGAUGCAGAUUUAUUAUUUGUGCGAAUGCAUUAAUAACAAUUCUAUUAAGCUGAUGCCCCAAUUUUGAAGUUAUU
rnacentral:tRNA from 1 species